rnacentral:lncRNA from 1 species
UUUUUUUUUUUUUUUUUUUUUUUACUGUUUAUCGUUUUUAUUUUGACUUGAGAUGUUGAAGAAGAGAAGGAGUGCAAUGAAUGAUCCCUUGAAAACGUGUCUCUAAAUCCUCUAUCACACAAAACAUGUUUAGUUCAUGUGGGAUUGGAAUUGCAUUCUUUCAUAUGAUCCUUGAUCUUCCGCUCGCAAUUGCAAAUACGCUUACCGUCCGGUUAAAUGAUGGAAUUCCCUAAAUUGAUGAGAAAUGGGUGCUUCUCGGUUUCUGUAUAUACGCAGCUACACUGUAUCUGCAUUUUGCCACAUCAGUCAUUAUUCAUGAAAUAACAACAUCUCUUGGAAUCUACUGUUUUAGGGAUAAGAAUCGCAAAGAAAAAGGCCUGAGACAUGUUCAUGUUCGGUAUGAAGAUUCGGCUGAUCGGAAUCAAGGGUUUCAAAUAAAGUGGUGGAACUUGCAUUAGUUAAUAGACCACAGGUGAAUAGAGAUAUUGCUGGUUUUUCUAUUUUACUUCACCCUAGAGAAUUUGCAUUUGUUCACACUUGAAACAAUGCGGGUUUCAAUCAGAGUCAAAGUGGGAUUCAAGGAAAAUUUGGGGGUGGUUUUUUGAGUCUUCGACUUGGAGGUAGUGAAGAAUCGGUAUCUACUUCACCUUGCGUCAUGGAUUUAUAGUGGUGAGCACUUAUAUACACAACAAUGUUAAGAGGCUGGACUAGAACUUUUUUAGAAAAAAGAACGUCAUAAUAAAAAAAAUGAUGAUACAAAACUCAAUCCUGUAUUAGAUGGUACAAAUGAAUUUUCAUUAUUCGCAUCCCCAUCAUUUCAGGAUUGAAUCAAGGUGAUACUGCUCUUCCAUUAAAGGGUUGGCCUUUGAGUGUAAGACAAGAUGGUUUGCAUUUCUUCCAUACAAUGUUAUAAUUUGAUUUCUAAAGAUGAUUGGUGUGAAUUUCUUUAACAGGGAAUGGACGAUUUACACCCUAAUAUGGGUUUGCAAGUACAAAAGCUCAAUAUGCAGAAUCAACAUCAGUUCUAUUUGCCUUGAAACAUGCCCAGGCCCAAGGUAAUAUUGUAACUUCACCAAAUUAUGGGCUUGUUGGAUUAUCUAGAGGCAGUCUAAGUAUGAAAGAUGGUCAAACCACAAGAAAUGAUGGAUCCCCUUCACCCCAGGUUAAGAUUUUCUUUUUAUGAUCUAAUUCUUGGUUCUCUGUGUUAUUAUAACAUCUCUCUUUUAUCUACACAAUCCCCAACAAGACCACUUUAAUCUGUACUUCUGUUCAAAUAUCUAGCUAUUGAUAAUAAGAGGGGUUCGUUUAUGUAGUACAAUAAUUAGGGCUUAAAAUAAGAUAUCAGUUACAACGGUUGAAUUAGCUGUGUGUGUAACUUAUUGCCAUCCGGGGUUAAGCCAACUUCACUUGGUUGUGUACGCUUGACUGCAAGCCUUGAUAUAGAGGCUGCAAAUUCGGUGGGUUUUGAUAACGGAUCAAAAAAGAAAGUUUUAGGAUGGAAAACAAAUUGUGUGGGUUCCAUGAGCUUCAUUUUGGUUUCCUCUAAAGAAGGCCUUUGUGCUGCAAAACUUCAUAGCUGUAGAGCAAAUAAGUGGUCAAUUGGACUAAAUUAACUUUAAAAGUAAAUUGAUAAAUAACUAGAGACAUGAACAAUUGUUAAGAGUCGAAUAAAGUAAUAAACUACUGGGAAUAUAAAAAGUCAAAGUUUUAAAGUAGGACAGGAACCAGUUCAUGUUUGUCAACUGUCCUGUUGUCUUCUUGUGACUUUUGAAACUUAGAUGUGGAUAUUUCUAUAACUUGAUCAACUAUAUAGACAGUUGCCCAAGAGUUUCAAUUGAAUAUCCAUAUGGAGCACCACCACAAGCUUACCAAAAAAAAAAAUACGAUGUGCAGUAAUAGGUGUUUUGUUUUUUUUAAACAAUGAUGUAGUAUCAUAGUGUGGAUUGCACCAUUUGAUCCAACUAAGAAGGAGGAGGAGGUUAUUCAAGAUGUCAACUCAUCUGGUUAUGAACCCGUAAAAUAUCACGGUCAAUGGCCCUUCAAACGAGUAUUUGGAAUUCAGGAGCCUGCUUUUGUCGCGUUUUCUGCACUUAACCUUGCAAUGCAUUUUCAUGGGUGGUUAUCGUUCUUCAUCCUCUUGCAUUACAAGCUGCCGGUGAAAGCAGAUAAAAAGCCGUACUAUGAGUAUGCUGGUCUAUGGCAUCUAUAUGCGCUCCUAGCCGUCAUUUGACGCCUCUACCCUUGAGAAAUCGGUGCCUCCAGGGUAUCUGAAAUUCAUUAGUAAUUUGGAAAUUGAGAUUUUAAAUGCGUCGAUGGAGAAGGAGAUUUUGAAGAUUGAAGUGAUGCGAGCCCAACCGAUGAUCAGCAUUCUUCAGUGACUGCUUGACUGAAGAGAAUAAUGAAUUGAGGAAGGGUGUUUAGGCAAUUACAGCUCUAUACUUGUGUUCAUUAUUACUUUAACCAUGUAGCUAAUGAACACAACAAGGUUAUGGGGAAAGGGCCAUUUCUAGGUAACAUGACUCUUUAUCGCUUAUUUUCCUCAGAGAUCUUAGUCAAAUAAAGUCUUAUGUCAAGACCUUCUCCUGUUAGAAGCUGUGGAAAUGCUGCUAGAGUCGAUAAUAAAGAGAAACGGGUGUGAUUCUUCCUUCCGUGAGCCACGCAACGGACGUGAUAGAUAAUAAAGAGUCGUUGGGCUCUAUGACCAACAGUAAAAGGCUUAACAUUGU